UAUCUGCAAAAGCUCCACGAAAGUUAGAUAGACAGUGAUCCACUUGAAAACAAUAUAGAGUACCUUCCAAGCAUCAUCACUGUUGCUUGAGGAUUGGUUCCCGGUGUUGAUAAAAACGUAGAUCCAUCCACGACUCGCAAUCCUUUCAAUACCUUAACCCGGAAGCUCCAGUCGACCACCUCUCCAAGCGGGCAUCCUCCAUGGUAGUGGUAAUUAGUCGAAACAUUCCGCCGGCAAAACUCGCUGAUGGUUCUAUUCACAGAUCCACUCGCAACAAGCGUUGCAUUUCUUCGAUCCGGGGAAGAGACCGUGCCUCCAGAUGGAAGGGACUGAUUGCCAAACACCAGCGCCGCCAUGGAUCGAGAGAGCACCAUCUCCUCCAAAGUGUUGACUCCAGCAAUGCAGCGUUGUAGAUCCACCGGGUUCUGGAAAUAGUUGAAUUUCACUCGGGGAGUUUCACUCGCGUUUGUGCUCUUGAGGAAGAGCUCGCCUGUUGAUAGAGGGCCGUUUACCUCCCCGGCAAUAGCCCCCGAGUCUUGACUCAAAACGUAUCCUCCAGCGCUAAAGUUUGACGUGCUCACUCCCACCACUUGCUCAAUCAGGCUUCCAACAGGAAUGCGAGAGCGUAGCAGGAUGGUGUUUGUAGGAUUAUCACCCAUCCCCUUCCCUACCAUAGGCAGAUCCAAGAUCACUGGAAUUCCUAUCUCCUCAAGGUGAGCUUUCGGACCAACACCGCUUAGCAUAAGUAGCUGUGGACUUCCCAGAGCACCCGCAGAGAUUAUAACUUCACUUCUUUUAGAGCUGAGAAGAGCUGUGUGAGAGCGGCCAAGAUUGUCAGUGUAUAGAACUCCACGACUGCGUCCUCCUGUGAAAAGGAUCAAGAUCGAUCGCAAAGAAACGUUGCUGUCACGAGAACUUAC
rnacentral:lncRNA from 1 species